rnacentral:rRNA from 1 species
GACGAACGCUGGCGGCGUGCUUAACACAUGCAAGUCGAACGGAAAGGCCCUGCUUUUGUGGGGUUCUCGAGUGGCGAACGGGUGAGUAACACGUGAGUAACCUGCCCUUGACUUUGGGAUAACUUCAGGAAACUGGGGCUAAUACCGGAUAGGAUCUCCUGCUGCAUGGUGGGGGUUGGAAAGUUUCGGCUGUUGGGGAUGGACUCGCGGCUUAUCAGCUUGUUGGUGGGGUAGUGGCUUACCAAGGCUUUGACGGGUAGCCGGCCUGAGAGGGUUACCGGCCACAUUGGGACUGAGAUACGGACCAGACUCGUACGGGAGGCAGUAGUGGGGAAUAUGGCACAAUGGGCGGAAGCGUGAUGCAGCAACGCCGCGUGCGGGAUGACGGCCUUCGGGUUGUAAACCGCUUUCGCCUGUGACGAAGCGUGAGUGACGGUAAUGGGUAAAGAAGCACCGGCUAACUACGUG